AUACGUAGGGGGCGAGCGUUGUCCGGAAUGAUUGGGCGUAAAGGGCGCGUAGGCGGCCUGGUAAGUCUGAAGUGAAAGUCCCGCUUUCAAGGUGGGAAUUGCUUUGGAUACUGCUGGGCUUGAGUGCAGGAGAGGACAGCGGAAUUCCCGGUGUAGCGGUGAAAUGCGUAGAGAUCGGGAGGAACACCAGUGGCGAAGGCGGCUUUCUGGACUGUAACUGACGCUGAGGCGCGAAAGCGUGGGGAGCAAACAGGAUUAGAUACCCUGGUAGUCCACGCUGUAAACAAUGAAUGCUAGGUGUAGGAGGUAUCGACCCCUUCUGUGCCGGAGUAAACACAAUAAGCAUUCCGCCUGGGGAGUACGGCCGCAAGGUUGAAACUCAAAUGAAUUGACGGGG
rnacentral:rRNA from 1 species